rnacentral:misc_RNA from 1 species
CACAGUGCACCAGCCACCGUUCCCUAUCCGCUGUCUUUAACCUGUCGCUUCCGGCUCAUCACCUCCGCACCGUCGCCACGAACCUCUGCAGCCCAUGUUGCAUCAGAAUCGUCACUCAGUACCGGAGUCUCUCUUCCACGUCUCCUAUGAGCCCUCCACACCCUCCUCCACCUUCGUAACCGAGGCGACGACGCCCAUAGACGACGCCGUCGCCGUCACACCUGCUCAGCGUGGUGACUCGCCGUUGUCGCCCUGCGACAGCCGAGAUGCUCCACGCAGCCUCGUUCCCGGGGACUUGUCGAUGCAUCGUAGCUUCUUCUGCUACGUCUGCUGCGAACCUCUUUUUCGAGCAAUGAGUGACGGUGUGUGCGAUCACCAUGUGCGUGAGGCGUGCUGCUUAAAGAUGAGCGUCAGCGGUACUGCCACCUGCCCUCUGUGCGGGUGGAAUGGGCCAUGGUCGACGGACGGAGCGCACAGUGAGUGCGUGCGCGACGCGAUCGAGGUGCGUUUGAAGGAGAAUGCCAUUGCCCUCCUUCGCGACGCCUACCCUGCGCUCUCGAGUGACUGCGUUGGCGAUGUGGUGGGCAGCUGCUUUGAUCGCUCGUGUCUCACAGUGGACCUGCACCAAGCACAGCAGUAUCUUGCGGCGGUGCCUCCCGAUGGAGUCGGCGCUGUCUGCACGUCGCUGGGUGCGCCUGAUACGAUCCCUAACAAGGCGGCUGUCUUCUCGCUGCGCGUCGAGGGCCCGUGGCUCACUAGCUGUGACCUUGUGAGGAGGUUCUUGAAGCUGCAGGUGCUUGUCUUGUGUGACUGCGCAGACCUCGUCUCGCUUCGCGGAGUCGAAUGCGCGCCACUGCUCGAACGUCUCACUGUGGAGCGCUGUGGCUUGGCUGACACGUUGGGGAUCGACGCGUGCCCAUGUCUCAAGUUCCUGCAGCUUCGCGAAUGCCCUCGGCUGUCGCACUUGGGGUGGAGCCAGAUACCUAAUAGCCAAUCAAGCCUCCAAGAAUCUAGCGGGCAAGAUGGUGGCUGUGCGGCACUGCGCAGUGUGAGCGUUUUUCGCUGCCCCGCCUUCCGGGGCAUCGGCGUCCUCUCCGCUUCUCCGCAUCUGCGAGAGUUCCGUGCGCAGUGUGCUCGCAUCAGCAGCCUGGCCGCAUUGCGUGAGUGCCGCCGCCUCGAGUUGCUUGAUGUUGGAGGGUGCCAGCAGGUGUGCUGCAUUGAAGCCCUGCGAAGUGCGAAGGCGCUAAGGUAUCUUGACCUCUCCAACACGGCUGUCUCCGACAUCGGCGCGCUCUCACAGUGCACGGCGCUCGAGAGGGUGAAUCUGAACGGGUGCCUCCGGUUGCGCUCUCUCGAUAGUCUUGAGUGCUGUACGGAGCUCAGAGAGCUGCAGGCGUCUCGAACUAGCAUUGAGACGCUGAUCGGUCUGCGCCUGUGCCGUGCCCUCAAGAAAGUGGAUGUCAGCGGCUGCGCGGCGCUGAGGGACGCCGCGGCCCUCACGCAUCUCUCCCAACUCACACAUGUCGAUCUUUCCUUCACGGCGGUGGAUGACGUCAGCUCCCUUGCCUACUACAACGGACUGGAGAGCGUCCGUCUGCGCGGAUGUCGGCACGUGCGAGACUACUCACCACCGCACAACCUCGAGGAUGCGCCGCCGCUGCGCUCUCUCGACCUCACCAACACAAGUGUCUGCAGCAUCUCCGAGUGGGGUCGCUGCCCACCGAGGCUGGAGAUGCUCCGCAUGAACGGCUGCACGGAGCUCUCUGACAUCUCAGUCCUGCAGUCUGCAAGCCGGCUGAGGGUGGUGGAUUUGGACAACACCAGUGUGCGGAGCGUGUCGCCGCUGCGGUUGGCUGCGCCUGAGCUGGAGGAGCUUCACACCAAUGAUGUCACUUACCAGAGCGAGGUGCCUCUCUUCCAAACCACUGGAGUGCAGCGACAGCAUAACGUGGUAAACGCUGGCGCGUCGAGCCGAUCACUGUGAUAUGCGCGACGCGAGCACAUGUGUGGCUCCACACCUGGUGAUGGUGAGCGGACACACGUGCGGGAUUCUACGCUCUGCGCGUCGUAUACUUGUUAUCCUUUUAGCUUCAUUCUCUUCUCUGUUUAAUCUUGUGUGUGUCUUCUCUAUUCUCUAUUCUCUAUUCUUCUGUCUUCAUUCUUGUACUGCUUGAUACGACUCUACCGUCUCUCCCUCCCCCCACUCCGUGACACCCCCUCCACUCAGCCACACGCUUGAGCGCAUUCUGAAAACCUAUUCCGCUUUCGUCGUCAGGGCGCUCCUGUGGUUCUUCCUUUGCGCUGCGUUGCGGGCCCUCCCCUCCGCCUCCGCCUCCCUCUCCCCUCCGCUGUCGCUUCCUCUGUCCUUUUCGUACCCUUUCACGCACGUUUUGCACCGCCUCGCCUCUGCGCUCUGCGCGAAGUACGCAACGUACGGCAGAAAGCAAAACCUUCGCCACACGCGCUGCCACUCACACGCUGAUAGGCGGCGGUGCGGCAACGUAUGACGGCCUCCUUCUUGUACCCCAAACAAACAAACCCGCCCGCGGAGAUGUCUUUCCACACGCCUCCCCCCCUGCCCAUGCGCCACCUCCGCGUGUGGCGACUUCACACCAAUCCACGCACACGCUCUCUCAAGCUGGUGGAGAACAUCAUCGGGGGGGGGGCUCUUUUGACGUGCCACGAGCCACACGCGCUCUCCUUCAUGUAAGGGAAGCGGCGUUUUUCGGUGUUGGACGAACGCGGCCUCGCAUGCCCACAGCGGGGGCUUGAAUUAACCGCGAACGCUCGCUGAUCUUUCUGAUGAGCAGCUGAGCGGUGGGGUCUGUGCAUACCACGCGCCAUCGCUCGACUGUUCGCAUGUGACGUGUGCUCUCAGACUGCGUGUCUUGCAUGAGCGCGUAUGGGUUCGGGUGCCGUGGCCGACUCUGCGCACCACCGCCCACCUUGUAUGCAGUGUGCUUCUUUCCCGUACUCUACGCUGAAGGCUGAUUUCUUUCUGAGAUGAGACGGAGGAGAAUGCACCCUUCCUGUCUUGAAUACAACAGGCAGACGUACCGCACAGACACUCAUCUGUGAGGGUGUGUGCCGUUCGUCCACUGAGGUAGAAUGCAUCGCGGCAUGGACUUCUCCGCACGC